rnacentral:rRNA from 1 species
CCAAACUGUUGCCUCGGCGGGAUCUCUGCCCCGGGUGCGUCGCAGCCCCGGACCAAGGCGCCCGCCGGAGGACCAACCAAAACUCUUAUUGUAUACCCCCUCGCGGGUUUUUUACUAUCUGAGCCAUCUCGGCGCCCCUCGUGGGCGUUUCGAAAAUGAAUCAAAACUUUCAACAACGGAUCUCUUGGUUCUGGCAUCGAUGAAGAACGCAGCGAAAUGCGAUAAGUAAUGUGAAUUGCAGAAUUCAGUGAAUCAUCGAAUCUUUGAACGCACAUUGCGCCCGCCAGUAUUCUGGCGGGCAUGCCUGUCCGAGCGUCAUUUCAACCCUCGAACCCCUCCGGGGGGUCGGCGUUGGGGAUCGGCCCUUUACGGGGCCGGCCCCGAAAUACAGUGGCGGUCUCGCCGCAGCCUCUCCUGCGCAGUAGUUUGCACACUCGCAUCGGGAGCGCGGCGCGUCCACAGCCGUUAAACACCCCAAACUUCUGAAAUGUUGACCUCGGAUCAGGUAGGAAUACCCGCUGAACUUAAGCAUAUCAAUAAGCGGAGGAA